GAGGUCCAGCUUCUGACCGUAGACUCCUAGUUCCCACAAGCACAGCUCCAGCCUCACCACUAGUUGCUAACUGGGAUUUUUAGCAGCCGACUUCCGUCUGCAGUCCCUGUGGGUGUCCCAGCACUCAGUCAGCGGGCGAUGAGGAAAUUGAAGACCCGUGGGGAAAAAUAACUUGCCAGAGACGACAUGGUUAUUCAUGAAUCAGAGAGGGGAGCAGGCAGAGAACUCGGGCGUCCCAGCUUCUAGGUCAGCGCUCCUUCCACAGCCCGCACUGCCCAGCCCGGAGAUGCCUGUGCCAGCAGAGAUUACAGUCAGGGAGGCAGCCACCGGGCCAUACACUAAUCAUGAGCAAGAAGAAAUUCGUCUGAGUUGCAGAAUGUUUUUCCACAGCCAGCUCACAAUUACUCGCUCCAGUGGGCCCCUGCAGGGAUGCUGGGGUCCACCCACAGGUUCUUGGGCACGGCACCGAGGCAAAAGAAGCCACAGGUCCGAUCACGGAGGAAUGCAUCUUUUCCUGGAGAGCAGGAGGCAGCCGAAAAGAGCCUGGCUGAGAGCUGUCAGACAGGGGCUCCAACAGCCAGUGCUGCCAAGGAGACGCUGGGUUCACAGGGUCACAGCAGUUCCGUGUUGGAAAGGACCCAAUGGAUUACUGGGUCCUUUAGCCGGGGCACUAAUCCUGCUCUGACCUGCCCGCUCCGUGCCUCAGGCAGUAGUUGGGAGGCUGAGAGACAAGGGCCACUCUCUACUCUUGGGCAGACCCCGAGGAUGGGCUCCACACUGAGCUUUAAAGGAAGCAUUUAGAAACCUGUAGAGGAAUGGUGAAGGGAGGCUGCGGCAUAUUGUGGUUAAAAGCAAGAAUUUGGAGUCCGGCUGCUUGGGUUGGUGUUGGUCGCUCACCCACUGCGUGAGCUGCAGCACGGAAUUUGACCUCUCGGAGGCUCGGUUUCCUCAUCUGCAGACGGGCGGUGUGGAGUGCCUGCCAUAUUAGGGUUGUUGUGAGGACUCCUGAGAUCAGGACAUGAAGUGCUCAGCACAGAGCCUGACGCACACAGGGCUCUGCUGGGGAUGGAGCUCGAUGCUGACAUUAGUAAUAGGAGAUAGUGUCCUGUCUCUUCUGUCCCUCUAAGCCGCAGUUUUCCCCUACAGAUUCAAUCUCAGUGAUGCUGACCUAAUUUAUGCAAAGGAAUCCAAAUGGGUCUCUAACCCAAGCUGACCCCUGCGGGGCGUGCCCGGUGGCUUGGCCAGGCUAGGGGAGUGGGGACACUUGCUGGACCCACCCUCCCGAGGUCCUCUGGUAUUGUCUCAGUUGCGUCAGAGUUGAGGGGAACCUGGACCCGGCUGCUGGGAAUGCCCAAACCGGCUGUAGAAAGAGCCUUGCCUCCUCUCCCCAAUCCUGGCAACAGCACAUCUGGAGUGAUCUGCACAUCUGGCUGCAUCCCUGGGGUAAUAGCCACAGCUGCUGACAUUUGAGGGAGGAGAGAUCUAGCUCCUCAGCCAGGGCCUGGGGGGCUAUAAAUAACUAGCUAAGAGGACCGGGGGGGACAAGGUUGACCUUUGGGGGGGCGGGAGCGGCUGGCAACUUCCCCCACCCCCUUGGGUCCAGAGCCAGAGUUUUAGCAAAACAGGAAGAGGCAGCAGCAGCAGCUGCUGGGAAAGUAGGAGUGGCUCCUCUUCCCCCACUUGCCUGGGGCCUUCGGAUCCCAGCCAGGACCUGGGAGAGGUGGAGUCAUCUAGGCGGGAGAAGGGGGGCAGACCGGUGCAGACUGUGGUCCCAGCUCCUGGUGCCCUCCUAUGGCUCUUCUGGGGCACAGGCAAGAGAGAAGGAAGUGGAGAAGGGCAGCCCAGUGGGCUGUGCCCUCCCUCCUGGCUCCCUCCUAUUCCCUUUCUGUUCCCCUAUCAGUGGGACAACAGGAAGGACAGACAUUCAAAAUUGAGCAUAAAAUACAUCUGCUGACCCAGCCAAUGUAUCUACAGGCCCAGGGGCAUGUCAAGCCCUCCUCCCUCUCUCAUCCCCUUCCAGCCCACAGGUGGGCUGAGCCUAAGCGCAGGUUCGUGGGAGAGAGGGCGCUAGACAGGAGGAAGGAUGCCUCUGGGCUUCUGGACAGGGGCCCAGGGCCUGGCCUCAAUGAAUGAAGAACUUCUCCAUGAACUAUGGAGGUGGGUGGCUCUGGGUGACUGUGUGUCUGGAGUAACAGGGCAUCACAGAGACAAGUUCUGGAGAGCCAUACGCCAGCCCAGGAAAUGUUGCCUUGUCCAGGCCACUGGGCCACUCAAAGUCUGUCCUGCAUAUCCAACUGGGUGGUGAUAUCUCCAGUGGGGUCUGCAUCUCAAUCUGUGGGGACCUGUCAUUGCCUCAGCCUGGAGCCCCGAGUUUUGCCUGCAGGGGGGUCUAGAUCAGCACUGUUCAAAAGAAACAGAAUGUGAGCCACAUAUGUAACUUUAAAUUUUCCUUACGAAAAGGAAAAGUAAA